GAACGAUGAACCUCCGGUCUGUAGGCCACCCUAUUACAGCAAACCUAUAUACUCUACUAUUAAAACACCCAUCCUGCAGUUGAAUUGCUCAGACAAAGAUUCUCCCCCUCAUCAGCUCAGCUACACUAUUGUGGGAGGCAAUACCCAUUCUCGGUUCAAACUUCAGAGAUUAGGCUCUGGCUUACCUUCUUUGAUGACGACACAGAACUUCCAGUAUGAUGUGUUUCCAGGAAUUCAGGAUCCCACCACAUUUCAGCUACUGAUAGAAGUGGCUGAUGAACUGCAGGGCAAUUUAGCUCACCGCUUGUCCACAACAGCAACUAUAAUACUGCAUGUGGUCCCCUGGAGUACAACCAGGCCUUCAACCACCACAAAAACAACCACAACUGCCGCUACCACCUCAGUGCUGAUUCAGACUUUAUAUUAUUGGCACCCUGAAAGCUGGUUUCCUGUUGUCCUGACUAUAGCAGCGGCCCUCCUAUUGAUGUGCUUGUAUAUGGCAGUGU